CCCGCUGAACUUAAGCAUAUCAAUAAGCGGAGGAAAAGAAACUAACAAGGAUUCCCCUAGUAACGGCGAGUGAAGCGGGAAAAGCUCAAAUUUGAAAUCUGGCAACUUUGUUGUCCGAGUUGUAGUCUAGAGAAGUGUUUUCUGUGCUAGACCGUGUACAAGUCUCUUGGAACAGAGCGUCAUAGAGGGUGAGAAUCCCGUCUUUGACACGGACUACUAGUGCUAUAUGAUGCGCUUUCAAAGAGUCGAGUUGUUUGGGAAUGCAGCUCAAAAUGGGUGGUAAAUUCCAUCUAAAGCUAAAUACAGGCGAGAGACCGAUAGCGAACAAGUACCGUGAGGGAAAGAUGAAAAGCACUUUGGAAAGAGAGUGAAACAGUACGUGAAAUUGUUGAAAGGGAAACGCUUAAAGUCAGUCGCGUCGACCGAGACUCAGCCUCGCCUUGGCUUGGUGUACUUCUCGGCUGACGGGUCAGCAUCAAUUUCGAUCCUUGGAUAAUGGCAAGGGAAAGGUAGCACCUUUACAGGUGUGUUAUAGUCCUUUGUCGGAUGCAAGGGUUGGGAUUGAGGAACUCAGCACGCACCUCAUCGGUGUCGGGGCCUUUUGGCCUACGUUACGUGCUUAGGAUGCUGGCAUAAUGGCUUUAAACGACCCGUCUUGAAACACGG
rnacentral:rRNA from 1 species